rnacentral:ribozyme from 13 species
UUCUUUUUCUUCUCCUCUUUUUCGCUUUCUCUUUCCUUUUUCUUUUUCUUUCUCUUUUGUGGGGAGCCCAGAAAGGGACAUGAGAGAAGCUUUGAGUGAAUCAGGGAAGGGAGAGGA